rnacentral:rRNA from 1 species
UACGUAGGUGACAAGCGUUGUCCGGAUUUACUGGGCGUAAAGAGCGCGCAGGCGGUCGUUCAAGUCGAGUGUGAAAGCCCCCGGCUCAACUGGGGAGGGUCACUCGAUACUGAUCGACUCGAAGGCAGGAGAGGGAAGUGGAAUUCCCGGUGUAGUGGUGAAAUGCGUAGAUAUCGGGAGGAACACCAGUGGCGAAGGCGGGUCUCUGGGCAACUCCUGACGCUGAGGCGCGAAAGCGUGGGGAGCAAACGGG